rnacentral:rRNA from 1 species
GACGAACGCUGGCGGCGUGCUUAACACAUGCAAGUCGAACGGAAAGACCCUGCUUUUGUGGGGUGCUCGAGUGGCGAACGGGUGAGUAACACGUGAGUAACCUGCCCUUGACUUUGGGAUAACUUCAGGAAACUGGGGCUAAUACCGGAUAGGAGCUCCUGCUGCAUGGUGGGGGUUGGAAAGUUUCGGCGGUUGGGGGUGGACUCGCGGCUUAUCAGCUUGUUGGUGGGGUAGUGGCUUACCAAGGCUUUGACGGGUAGCCGGCCUGAGAGGGUGACCGGCCACAUUGGGACUGAGAUACGGCCCAGACUCCUACGGGAGGCAGCAGUGGGGAAUAUUGCACAAUGGGCGGAAGCCUGAUGCAGCAACGCCGCGUGCGGGAUGACGGCCUUCGGGUUGUAAACCGCUUUCGCCUGUGACGAAGCGUGAGUGACGGUAAUGGGUAAAGAAGCACCGGCUAACUACGUG